UGGCGACCGGCGCACGGGUGAGUAACACGUAUCCAACCCGCCCGAUGACUCGGGGGAUAGCCUUUCGAAAGAAAGAUUAAUACCCGAUGGCAUAGUUCUUCCGCAUGGUGGAACUAUUAAAGAAUUUCGGUCAUCGAUGGGGAUGCGUUCCAUUAGGUUGUUGGCGGGGUAACGGCCCACCAAGCCUUCGAUGGAUAGGGGUUCUGAGAGGAAGGUCCCCCACAUUGGAACUGAGACACGGUCCAAACUCCUACGGGAGGCAGCAUG
rnacentral:rRNA from 1 species